rnacentral:misc_RNA from 1 species
GAAGAUUUUGACUUUGGUUGGGAGACGCAUGUUAGCCAAACUAACAGUUCGGGUAAUGUAUAUAAUCCUAAACCUGCAGAGACACUGGAGGUAAGUAGACAUCCUCAGUUAAUGGAAAAUAUAGCUGAUUUGGACAUUCAGUAUGGUGAUUGGUUAGUUUCUGCACCUUCAGACGCCCCAGUUUCAACAGGAUUUAACAUAUUGUCCCCUGAAGCUUCUCCCAUAGAUUCUGGAUAUUUUGUUGACUUCUGAAUGUUGGUGGUGUCCUUGAUGAAACAUGGCCUUCUGGUUUCUUCAAAGUUUUUUCUUUUAAAAACAAAAUUAGGAAUGCUUCUCCCAUUUAAAGGGUAGCAAGGUACAUAGGGUUAAAGAAUUAGGGUUAACAGGUUCA